AUAAGCUAUCCUGCCGCAGCUCGCCUGCCAGGUGGUUUUCUUAAUUAGUUAAUUGGUUGCAUCUGGUGCGUUUCACUUAAAAGGGAACCGGACAGUACAUUGGUUUGUGUACUGUUUUGUUGAGGUCUGUUGUGACGUAUUUAACAUCUCUUCCAGUUGUACAGGUUAAAGACUUAGAAGUAAAGAGGAGCAUCUCAUCUGAACCUGAUGUCUAUCAUGGAUAUUCAACUGCAGUUCUACCAGGAAUCCAUGGCUGAAGGCGCUGAUGGAGGAGCCGUGCUGAAGGAGCAGAUGGAGGAGCCGUGCUGAAGGAGCAGAUGGAGGAGCCGUGCUGAAGGAGCUGAUGGAGGAGCCGUGCUGAAGGAGCUGAUGGAGGAGCCGUGCUGAAGGAGCAGAUGGAGGAGCCGUGCUGAAGGAGCUGAUGGAGGAGCCGUGCUGAAGGAGCUGAUGGAGGAGUCGUGCUGAAGGCCCUGCCUUGUGGAGGAGCUGGUGAAGGCCCUGCCUUGUGCAGGACGUCUAUCGUGGGACCAGGACUCUGUCUUAGGAGAGCUGCUGGAGGAGGUGAGACGCUGGAGGACGACUAGGAAUCGACCAACAAGGAUUCCUCAAUGUGUUUCUGGAGCGGAGGCGAGUUGGUAGGGGAGCCGUGAAUCUGGAGGAUGACCAUCACCCUACCAACAAGGAUUACUUUAGGGCCAGACUCGCGCUGUUUGUUCCAGACCAGGACUCUGGCUGAGGAGAGCUGAUGGAGGAGCCAUCACUCAACCAACCAGGAUCCUCAGACAAAUUACGUUUGUAACCAGACCAGGAAUCUUGAGGACUGAUGGAGAAGCCGUACAUCUGGAAUGCAAAUCCUGAGGACCACCAGGACUCUACCAUCAAGGAUUCCUCUUAAGUUUGCAUUAUCUGGACAUAGUGGACUAGGUAGAUCAAACAAUGACUAAUCAAUGUCCUUGUUUGGUCUGGGCAGACACACCUGAGCUGAACCUCACCUGAUCCUGUUUGGUCGGGGGUAGACACACCUGAGCUAAACCCGCUCUGAUCCUGACAUCCUGCUGGUCCCGUCUCCUCAGUUCAUCUAAGCCUCGUCCUCCAGAAGACCUGCUGAGCUCAGCAGUCUGAGGCUUAUGGAUCAAUGACCUCCAGUGGGAGUGAUCUUCUUGACCCUACAUGUAACCGUGUGCUUCCACACGCCUUUCCCUCACGUCUGUCACUAACCUCACUACUUCACUACUCUCUACUGCUUCCUUUUUUCUUCCUUCUCUGUGGUUCAAACCUUUACACUGAAGGCGCGUCUUCCUGCCCUCAGAGGGUUUAGCGUUAGGGUUGAGAAUCAGGUUUUAGAGUCAGGGACAGAGCUGGUCAGGGAGGACUGCUUUUACACAAACCUCUUCAGUUGCUUUCGGAAUGGUUGUGACAUUUUGAAAAAUUCAUUUGGGAAAAAAAUUUCCUCUGCUUUCCUUCCUCAAACUUCGAAAAAAGUGUUUUCGUUUAUACAGUAUAUUAAAAUCCCACAUUGACUUCUACAUGUUUGGUGCGGUUCAAUUAAUUGUCCUUUAACUUGGUUAAUGUCAAGCUAAACUCCUGCAAUACAUUUAAUACCUAUACAUGAUUGUUAUUCAGCAAUGUUCACAUAAUCCAUUUUGUAAAAAUAUGAAACCUCCAUAUUACUACUAAAUUCAAGCCUAUUCAUGUAUUUAACAAUGUGCAUACUGCCCCGCAGGCCAUUCUCUGCUAAUACAACACGUUCAAUCCACCAACCCGUCUCACAUCAAUGUGCUAUAGCUACGUUGGUUCAAACGGAAAAUGUAGUUUGGUGUGAGAAUGUUGUCCAGCAGAGGGAGCUGUUAUACACCUUAAUUAUACAGGAAUGUCUGUAAUUACAUUUUAAAAUGUUCAUGGGCUGGUCUAGUUUGUCUGCAAAUAACUCUGCCUCCAGCAACAGGAUUGGUCGAAACAUAUGAAGUGAAAGCAAUAAAAGCCCAGUUCACCAGAUCUGAGGUCAGCUGCUUUCAGAUUUUCGAUCAUGAAUGUAUUGAGUGAACGACGUCUGAGCUAAAUAUUAACCACCUGGAACUUGGUUUCCUGGAGCCUGGAGGACGGCAGGACGCGUGUUUACCUGGUCGAUUAGGCCCUGAACGCUGACCCUGAACCCAGACAUCCUAAUCACAGACCCUGUGUUUAAUUAGCCCCGAAUAUAAUUUUUGGGUUAAAAAAAUAAAAGUAAAAAUAUGUAUAAUU
ensembl:lncRNA